UGAUCAUGGCUCAGAUUGAACGCUGGCGGCAUGCCUAACACAUGCAAGUCGAACGGUAACAGGUCUUCGGAUGCUGACGAGUGGCGGACGGGUGAGUAAUGCGUAGGAAUCUGUCUUUUAGUGGGGGACAACCCAGGGAAACUUGGGCUAAUACCGCAUGAGCCCUGAGGGGGAAAGCGGGGGAUCUUCGGACCUCGCGCUAAGAGAGGAGCCUACGUCCGAUUAGCUAGUUGGCGGGGUAAAGGCCCACCAAGGCGACGAUCGGUAGCUGGUCUGAGAGGACGACCAGCCACACUGGGACUGAGACACGGCCCAGACUCCUACGGGAGGAAGCAGUGGGGAAUUUUUCGCAAUGGGGGCAACCCUGACGAAGCAAUGCCGCGUGGAUGAAGAAGGCCUUCGGGUUGUAAAGUCCUUUCGUGGAGGACGAAAAGGUGGGUUCUAAUACAAUCUGCUAUUGACGUGAAUCCAAGAAGAAGCACCGGCUAACUCCGUGCCAGCAGCCGGGGUAAUACGG
rnacentral:rRNA from 1 species